GACGAACGCUGGCGGCGCGCCUAACACAUGCAAGUCGAACGAGCGAGAGAGAGCUUGCUUUCUCGAGCGAGUGGCGAACGGGUGAGUAACGCGUGAGGAACCUGCCUCAAAGAGGGGGACAACAGUUGGAAACGACUGCUAAUACCGCAUAAGCCCACGGCUCGGCAUCGAGCAGGGGGAAAAGGAGCAAUCCGCUUUGAGAUGGCCUCGCGUCCGAUUAGCUAGUUGGUGGGGUAACGGCCCACCAAGGCGACGAUCGGUAGCCGGACUGAGAGGUUGAACGGCCACAUUGGGACUGAGACACGGCCCAGACUCCUACGGGAGGCAGCAGUGGGGAAUAGUGCACAAUGGGGGAAACCCUGAUGGAGCGACGCCGCGUGGAGGAAGAAGGUCUUCGGAUUGUAAACUCCUGUUGUUGGGGAAGAUAAUGACGGUACCCAACAAGGAAGUGACGGCUAACUACGUG
rnacentral:rRNA from 1 species